AGAGGUCACUGCAGCCAAGGAUGACUUGCCGGCAUUGUUGAAAAAUAAGACUUCCUUCUUCGAUGCGUUUCGAAUUCCUCCGGCUCCGGCAAGUUGUUCUUGGCUACAUAGGGCUCUUU
rnacentral:pre_miRNA from 1 species